rnacentral:rRNA from 1 species
GUCUAUGGCCAUACCACCCUGAACGCGCCCGAUCUUGUCAGAUCUCGGAAGCAAAGCAGGGUCAGGCCUGGUUAGUACUUGGAUGGGAAACUGCCUGGGAAUACUGGAUGCCGUAGGCA